UACGAAGGGUGCAAACGUUGCUCGGAAUCAUUGGGCGUAAAGCGCACGUAGGCGGCCCUGUAAGUCGGAUGUGAAAUCCCUCGGCUCAACUGAGGACGUGCAUCCGAAACUGCAGAGCUCGAGUAUGGAAGAGGAUCGCGGAAUUCCCGGUGUAGAGGUGAAAUUCGUAGAUAUCGGGAGGAACACCGGUGGCGAAGGCGGCGACCUGGUCCUUGACUGACGCUGAGGCGCGAAAGCGUGGGGAGCAAACAGG
rnacentral:rRNA from 1 species